rnacentral:rRNA from 1 species
GACGAACGCUGGCGGCGUGCUUAACACAUGCAAGUCGAACGGAAAGGCCCUGCUUUUGUGGGGUGCUCGAGUGGCGAACGGGUGAGUAACACGUGAGUAACCUGCCCUUGACUUUGGGAUAACUUCAGGAAACUGGGGCUCAUACCGGAUAGGAGCUCCUGCUGCAUGGUGGGGGUUGGAAAGUUUCGGCGGUUGGGGCUGGACUCGCGGCUUAUCAGCUUGUUGGUGGGGUAGUGGCUUACCAAGGCUUUGACGGGUAGCCGGCCUGAGAGGGUGACCGGCCACAUUGGGACUGCGAUACGGCCCAGACUCCUACGGGAGGCAGCAGUGGGGAAUAUUGCACAAUGGGCGGAAGCCUGAUGCAGCAACGCCGCGUGCGGGAUGACGGCCUUCGGGUUGUAAACCGCUGUCGCCUGUGACGAAGCGUGAGUGACGGUAAUGGGUAAAGAAGCACCGGCUAACUACGUG